UAAGUUUCUAACCCCGGGCUCUAUUCGGAGCGGCCGUGAGACCGGGGGGAGCCGCACGUGGCGUGGGCGCCGCUGGAGUGCCGGGAGAGCUGCCGUGCUGGGAAUGAGCUCUGCUCCACUCAAUUACGCUUAAAAAAUAGCUAAGACGAAGUGGAAAAAAUUGGAUUUUCUGAGAUUGGAAGGCGGCUGUUUCUCGAAAUGUGCCCGAGCCAGCCCCACGCCGCUGCGGGAGAAAACAAGACAAGGCGUGGAGAUGACUUUACUCCCUGUGAUCAGUAGGAGAAAAGCCCAGUUCAAGUCUUGCUUCCUUCUUCAAUCUGUCCUGUAUUGG